rnacentral:rRNA from 1 species
AGAAUUUUUCUCAAUGGGGGAAACCCUGAAGGAGCGACGCCGCGUGAAGGAUGAAGGUCUUCGGAUCGUAAACUUCUGUCAUUGGUGAACAAGGCCCACACAGUAACUGGUGUUGGGAUUGAUAGUAGCCGAAGAGGAAGAGGCGGCUAACUCUGUGCCAGCAGCCGCGGUAAUACAGAGGCCUCAAGCGUGGUUCGGAUUCAUUGGGCGUAAAGGGUGCGUAGGUGGCGAGGCAAGUCUGGUGUGAAAUCCCGGGGCUCAACCCUGGAACUGCACUGGAUACUACUUUGCUUGAGUACUGGAGAGGAGAUUGGAAUUUACGGUGUAGCAGUGAAAUGCGUAGAUAUCGUAAGGAAGACCAGUGGCGAAGGCGAAUCUCUGGACAGUUACUGACACUGAGGCACGAAGGCCAGGGGAGCAAA